AUUGAACGCUGGCGGCAUGCCUACACAUGCAAGUCGAACGGCAGCACGGGAGCAAUCCUGGUGGCGAGUGGCGAACGGGUGAGUAAAGUAUCGGAACGUGCCCAGUCGUGGGGGAUAACGUAGCGAAAGCUACGCUAAUACCGCAUACGAUCUAUGGAUGAAAGCGGGGGAUCGCAAGACCUCGCGCGAUUGGAGCGGCCGAUAUCAGAUUAGGUAGUUGGUGGGGUAAAGGCUCACCAAGCCAACGAUCUGUAGCUGGUCUGAGAGGACGACCAGCCACACUGGAACUGAGACACGGUCCAGACUCCUACGGGAGGCAGCAGUGGGGAAUUUUGGACAAUGGACGCAAGUCUGAUCCAGCCAUUCCGCGUGCAGGAUGAAGGCCCUCGGGUUGUAAACUGCUUUUGUACGGAACGAAAAGGUCUCUAUUAAUACUAGGGGCUCAUGACGGUACCGUAAGAAUAAGCACCGGCUAACUACGUGCCAGCCGCCGCCGUAAAAC
rnacentral:rRNA from 1 species